rnacentral:rRNA from 1 species
UUGUUGCUGGUCCUCAACUGGGGGCAUGUGCACGCUCUGUUUACACAUCCACUCACACCUGUGCACCCACUGUGGUUCUAUGGCCUGGGGGGCUACGUCCCUUUCGCCGUGGUUCUACGUCUUUACACACACACUGUAAUAAAGUUUCACGGAAUGCAUCAUGCGUUUAACGCAAUACAAUACAACUUUCAGCAACGGAUCUCUUGGCUCUCGCAUCGAUGAAGAACGCAGCGAAAUGCGAUAAGUAAUGUGAAUUGCAGAAUUCAGUGAAUCAUCGAAUCUUUGAACGCACCUUGCGCCUUCUGGCUAUUCCAGAGGGCAUGCCUGUUUGAGUAUCAUGAACACCUCAACUCUCAUGGUUUUGCCGUGAUGAGCUUGGAUUUUGGAGGUCUUGCUGGCCCGCGGUCAGCUCCUCUCAAACGAAUCAGCUUGCCAGUGUUUGGUGGCAUCACAGGUGUGAUAACUAUCUACGCUUGUGGCUUCCACCAGGUAACCUUCAGCAAUGGAGGUUCGCUGGAGCUCACAAAUGUCUCUCCUCAGCGAGGACAGCGUCUUGAA